rnacentral:rRNA from 1 species
AGAGUUUGAUCAUGGCUCAGGAUUAACGCUGGCGGCGUGCAUAACACAUUCAAGUCGAACGGAGAGAGGCAGCUUCGGUUGCGUCAAUCAGUGGCGGACGGGUGAGUAACGCGUGAGUAACCUGCCUGUAGGAGGGGGAUAACACCUGGAAACGGGUGCUAAUACCGCAUAAAUCAUAGUUGUCGCACGGCAGCGAUGUAAAAGAGGAAUUGCUUACAGAUGGACUCGCGUCUGAUUAG